rnacentral:rRNA from 1 species
UGGGGAAUUUUGGACAAUGGGGGAAACCCUGAUCCAGCCAUCCCGCGUGUGCGAUGAAGGCCUUCGGGUUGUAAAGCACUUUUGGCAGGAAAGAAACGUCGCGGGUUAAUACCCCGCGAAACUGACGGUACCUGCAGAAUAAGCACCGGCUAACUACGUGCCAGCAGCCGCGGUAAUACGUAGGGUGCAAGCGUUAAUCGGAAUUACUGGGCGUAAAGCGUGCGCAGGCGGUUCGGAAAGAAAGAUGUGAAAUCCCAGAGCUUAACUUUGGAACUGCAUUUUUAACUACCGGGCUAGAGUGUGUCAGAGGGAGGUGGAAUUCCGCGUGUAGCAGUGAAAUGCGUAGAUAUGCGGAGGAACACCGAUGGCGAAGGCAGCCUCCUGGGAUAACACUGACGCUCAUGCACGAAAGCGUGGGGAGCAAACAGGAUUAGAUACCCUGGUAGUCCACGCCCUAAACGAUGUCAACUAGCUGUUGGGGCCUUCGGGCCUUGGUAGCGCAGCUAACGCGUGAAGUUGACCGCCUGGGGAGUACGGUCGCAAGAUUAAAACUCAAAUGAAUUGACGGGGUCAUAGCUG